rnacentral:rRNA from 1 species
UAGGGUGCAAGCGUUGUCCGGAAUUAUUGGGCGUAAAGAGCGUGUAGGCGGCUCGGUAAGUCUGCUGUGAAAGUCCAAGGCUCAACCUUGGAAUGCCGGUGGAUACUGUCGAGCUCGAGUCCGGAAGAGGCGAGUGGAAUUCCUGGUGUAGCGGUGAAAUGCGCAGAUAUCAGGAGGAACACCAAUGGCGAAGGCAGCUCGCUGGGACGGUACUGACGCUGAGACGCGAAAGCGUGGGGAGCGAACAGG